AUGCAUGGCCAUGAUCAUAGGCUUUGUCAUAGUGCAGUAGCGAUCAUUCCUCCUUCCAUUUCCCGCAUGCAUGUAUCUUUUCGACGGACGGCUCCCUGUGUCUGUAAAGGUAACCGAACCUGGAUUUCACCUAGGAUGAAUGUAAAGUCGUACGUCGGCGAUUUGUCAACCGGUCGACAACAAAAGAUAUAUGACCAUCUAGAGGUUAAUCAGAUGCAUACUCGUGUGGCUCCUGCCCCAUAUGCAUUUAAGAUCGAAGCGGAGGAGAGGGAACGAGAGCUAGAAGAGAAAGCAAAGAGGCAGGCAUGCGGCUGGAAAUUAAAGUAA
rnacentral:rRNA from 1 species